GGGCUGUGCUCCAGGAACUUUAUAUAAACAGGCGGGUGGCUGGAGCCUCCCGACGCCUGAACGGACACAUAGCUAGUGUUAACGAGAUCUUAGCAAGUUCCCUCCAAGCACUAUCCACGCUUACACUGAUGUAAUCCUUUCACAAAUCCUACGAGAAGAUUCGGGCGUGGGCGCAGCUCGGUGAUUUGCCCGAGACUAUCAGCCAGUUAGUGGCAGAAUUCGUCCUCCAACCGAGGCAUGGCGAUUCCGCGGUCCUCACCCACCAAGACGCACUGGCCCCUCCGAAUACUCCAUCCUCCACCCAGAUGACCCCACGGGAGCUCCAUCCAGCACAAGGCGCCUGGUUCCCCUUCACUUUUCCCUGAUGGCUCUGGACACAGAUGGCGAGGCCACCGUAAGAUCAGUAUCACCACCUACUUUUGGAGGGGACAUUUCUUUGGAGCCGUGCUCAAUAAGCAUGCUCAAACUUUGCUUUUGUAAAGGCUUCUCCGUGUUUGGCGUAGAGGACGGGGAAUUAAUCCUCUGGCUGUGCCAGGACGUGCCAGUCACGGAGCUUGGAACUCUACAUUUGUUAAGCCCUUUAAAGCUUGCCGAUGUCUGUGAUGGUGUUGACCCCACGUUUUUUCAAGACAGGAAGCAGGCUGGAACAGACAAGCAGUGUUUUCAGGGUCGUAUCUUAGUAACUGGUGCAGAUGGACUUAGCCGAAAGUGCACGUGUCUGCAGGACGUGUGAUUUCCACAGACGAUCUCUCUGUAGGUCACAUCAGAUUACAGUUAGUCAGAGCUGUAGUAAGGUUUUCCCUCAGUGUCAUCAGAGCCUAUCUGGUGUUUCAGUAUUCCCGAUAGCUGUUCGCUUCACAAAGCAAUGACCUGGAUCAUUAUGAUGGUUAUUCUUUUUACCAAUAUCACUCAGAAACCAGCGGCAACUAGUGGGAAGUGUUGUGACAAACUCCACUCUUGGGCGAUACAGUCAUCACCUCCAUUUGGGGUCCACGAGUUGGCAGAGGAAAACGUGCAAACCAAUGGAAUGUUCUUGAGAUUUUAUUUCUUAAACUUACAGCCCAGCUGUAAACCAAUGUAUCGAGCAAGGCUUCUCCAAACGCAAAAAAUAUCUGACAUCUGGAUUCUUAAAAGUGUCAGAUAUCAAGACGCUAAAGCUCCCAACAUGAUUGUUAAGUUGGCCAGGUGUGAAUUAAGUCUAAGAAAUAUGACAGAUGCUGGUCACCAUGUAAAAAUGCAGGGUGACUGUGCCCCAGGCUUCCACCCCAGGUGGGUGGAGAAUCUGGCAGGAAGGGGCGUUCUGUGCGUGGACCAGAGGCCUUGGAAUGAGCCGACGUGGUUCCAUUUCCAUGAAUGAAGGGACAUCUGCACGGAGGUUCCUACUAGCUCGGCGUACAAAGUGGUCUGUGUCCCAGCAAACCCCAGGUCCGCGUGUGUGUUUUAUAGUCGGGGAACUGAGGGCAGAGAGGCGAGCUCACGUGCGUGCGUGCAGGCGUGGCCCAGGACGAGAGCCUGUGUUUGGAGGACCUUUUCAUUACAACUCUUAACUGCCCAAGCUUGUCGCCGGCCAUGUAAAAUCGUCCUCAAUGUCAAUGUAAGUUUUGGGGCCAGAGGAUGAAACGAGUCGGGAAGGUAAGACGGGACACGUGGGUGGAAUACCACGUGGGCCAUGUUGCUUGCACUUUGACGGCCGAGCCAGGGGCUGGGUGAGCGCCAAGGCGCCGGGGUCCCCCCCCCCCCCCCGCCAUCCGCUCCAGCGGGCCUGGCCGUGUGUCUCUCCCCCCAGAGACACUCGCUCCUGCCGCGGGAGGGGUGGGGGGGCACAGGCUGCCGCGGCAACGUGUUGAGGCUCAGACAGGUGCAGGCACUGUGUUUAGGGAGCUGGGAAACGUCCCCAGUCUCAGGGUCAGAAGGGACCCGGGGCACGGGUCCCCCAUUCAUCCCCUGCUGUAGGAGGGCCCUCCUCACUGCUCCAGACGACACUGCCUCUCUGAACAGCUGGUGAUUUUAGGGAGCAAGUGAACCAAAUCCUGUUUUCUUGACAUUCACUCUCCCACUGCACCAGAGGGUUCCACCACUCACGGACUCUGGUCCGGAAACGUCUCUUCCGCGGCUCCACGGCCGAAUGCAGCAUGGAGGAGAAAAGCAGCGGCCGUCGCUGGAGACCCCCUGCCAGGUCAUCCUCAAAAUGCUCUAGUCCUCGGCCAUUUUAGCCCAAAUGCUCGCAAGUUUUGACAACGUCUUCUGGCGUAUGAGCCGUGACGUGCCUUCGCUGGGACUCAUCUGCUCGGGCCUGCUAAUUUGAGGAGCCAAGUGCCAGCGGGAGACAUUCCGCAUGGUUCUCGGCCCGGAAAGUAUCUGUUUUCACUGCAGCCAUCAAGUCCUCAACAUCAAGAGAACUAACUCAGGUGUUUCCGGCACCGUGACGGGAGGCGGGCAUUUUUGUCCGAGGGCCUUCGCGCGACCUUCCCCGCACACAACGACCACGGAAACACCGUGUGUAUUCACCCCAGGGCUGCUACCAGACUUUGGUGAGCUGGAAAAUCUGCACGUUACGGGCGGAGUCCCGAAUAAGGAGGAUCGAAUCCAUACAAGGCACUUGAUCUAAAUAUUUACAAGGAAUUCUGAUCAGAUGCUCACUGUCCAAAUUAAUAUUAUUUCAUCUGAAAAUACAAGAGUGUUUUCAUCCAAAAUCAGCUGUUGUUUGGAGUCCAAUCAGCGUACCACGCGGCAAAACACAACAGAGGAGCACGAUGUGCGGUGACAGGUAAUGUGGCCGGUCAGUGACCGAGAGGGGCAGAAUCCGCACCGAGCCGUGGAACUCACCCGCCCCUGGGUCCACGCCACCCGACCUCACGUACGGCCUUCAACAGAGUCCCUGGAACGUGGGCCUGCGGGUGUGGACCUUCCCCGGAUGUGCUCACCACGCUGGGGGGCCCAGGGCUCCCAGCAGACGGGACGUGUCCGCCCACACGCGGGGGACAGCCAACCCGGGCCCGGGAGCCCGUGACGUGAACCAGGGAACCCGACAAUCUAAGUGGGGGCGCGGAAGCUGUUUGGGGUUAGACAUGAGACGGCACAGGAUACGUGUUCAGAUGGUGACUAUGUAUGUGGCUAUCGUAGCCCUCGCUCAACUGCUUCCCAAGUGAGAGGAAGGAGCAGGGGGGACCCGAGUGCAUCGCAGGUCUGAUGACGGAGGACGUGGGCUGGUGGAGAAAGCCUCCCAGGUCGCUGUGCGUCCUGGAAAUGGGGCCCCGGGCCAGGCAGAGUGGAGAAGCGACUGCAGUCAUUACCUCCACGACUGUGUCUCCGGGAGCAGUGGCCCGUGGAAAAGGUCACCUUUGAGCACCAGGUCAGAGAAGUCACUUUCUCAAAGGACCACCAGUCUGGCCUCUCUCUGAUUUCCUUGUCCCUGGUCCCCUCGACACCCAGCAUCUCUGUGAACGGUGAAUCCGCUGAGGGCAGACUGUCUCCUGGGGUGCAGAUCCAUCGGUGGAUUCCCACAUUCCCCUUUCCCCCUUACGGAGACUUGAAAAUGACUCAUUUAGGGGCGCCUGGGUGGCUCAGUUGGUUAAGCGUCCGACCCUUGAUCUCAGCCCCGGUCGCGAUC